ACGUCACAGUCCUCGCUCGAAAAGUUUACUUAUAGGACCCGCGCUGCGAUCAGGUUCAGAUCAUCUUGGUUAAUAUUGCUGGAAAGCUGGGUUGUUCGGUGCCGGUCGGGGUUCUCUAUGAGGCCUCUCCGGAUCAACAUUGAGCAAUCGAGGACUAUCAGCUGUUAACUGAAGAAGACGGAAGACUGAAGACUGAAGACUGAAGACUGAAGAAGCAACGUGGUGGGUGGUGGGGGUGACUGACUGACUGACUGACUGACUGACUGAGUGACUGACUGGGUGACUGACUGGGUGACUGAGUGACUGACUGGGUGACUGAGUGACUGACUGAGUGACUGACUGAGUGACUGGGUGACUGACUGGGUGA